AUGCUUAUACUCGAACCCUCUAUAACGUGGUAUUCUUGUGCCAGAUUUUUGCCAUUCGGUAAUAGUUAUAAUUGCAUACUUCGAUCUAGGAGUAAUGGUUGUCCCAGGAUGCGUCUCAUGUCUUACUUUGUGACAGCAGUUGGUUGCAUUUCAGUGACAGUCAAUUCAACCUUGAACAAGCAACUAAAUAGCAGGUCUUCUUUGGUUGGAAUCACCACAUCUCAUCUAUGUUACUGCAAAAGCUUUUCAUUAUUGGACCAAGCUUAUGCGAUAUGCAUUGCAGUCAGUAAGGCUGUACAUUGUGUGGAGGAACUGAAUGUGUAUCCUGUUCAGUGCACAUCGACAAAACUGGAUUCAAAAAAGUAA
rnacentral:rRNA from 1 species